AUUGAACGCUGCGGCGUGCUUAACACAUGCAAGUCGAGCGAAGCAUUUUAGAGGAAGUUUUCGGAUGGAAUUUAAAAUGACUGAGCGGCGGACGGGUGAGUAACGCGUGGGUAACCUGCCUCAUACAGGGGGAUAACAGUUAGAAAUGACUGCUAAUACCGCAUAAGCGCACAGUGCUGCAUAGCACAGUGUGAAAAACUCCGGUGGUAUGAGAUGGACCCGCGUCUGAUUAGGUAGUUGGUGAGGUAACGGCCCACCAAGCCGACGAUCAGUAGCCGACCUGAGAGGGUGACCGGCCACAUUGGGACUGAGACACGGCCCAAACUCCUACGGGAGGCAGCAGUGGGGAAUAUUGGACAAUGGGGGAAACCCUGAUCCAGCGACGCCGCGUGAGUGAAGAAGUGUUUCGGCAUGUAAAGCUCUAUCAGCAGGGAAGAAAAUGACGGUACCUGACUAAGAAGCCCCGGCUAACUACGUGCCAGCCGCCGCCGUAA
rnacentral:rRNA from 1 species